rnacentral:lncRNA from 1 species
CUUGGAAUGAAUUAUGACUGUUCUUCCUUCAUUUAAAAAAAGUCCUCCCCAAAGAGAGAGAGAGGUGCAUUUCAGUUUUCCAUAAUCUCUAUUAUGAUUUCAGAACUAACCUACUACGCCAGUUGAUUCAGUCAGCAAUUGAGCUAACCAUGAGGGAGAAAAUAGGCCUUAAUGUUUUUUCUUUUGGAAAACCCAGAUUGCCCUGUUGAAAAAUGCUUUCCCUCCCACCCACCUGUCUGUCAUUAAUCAUGGGACGAGCUGGAUAAACCUGAUUGUUCCUCCAGAGACGACUCUGUCAUGAAAGAUUCCAUUUCUUCUUGACCUGAGAGGAAUCCCGUUUUCUUAGUGAUGAGCCGUGCCGGCAGAAUGCCAAGGGGAGCUCCUCCGCAGGUUUCAGAACAAGCAGUAGAGGGGCAGAGGUCAAAAUUUUGUGUCUGCUCUGCUAGCACCUCACUUCCCAUGGAGGCAUGGCACACAAAAAGGAGGACACGUUGCGUAUUUCAGAGCAAGUAAAAUGCUGUGUGGAGAUUGAUUUAUAUAACUUUUUUGCUAGAUUAGUCAAGAAGCUGGAUUAAUAUUUUAAUCAUAUUCUCUUGAG